rnacentral:rRNA from 1 species
GACGAACGCUGGCGGCGUGCUUAACACAUGCAAGUCGAACGGUGAACCUCUUCGGAGGGGAUCAGUGGCGAACGGGUGAGUAACACGUGGGCAACCUGCCCCCGGCUCUGGGAUAACUCCAAGAAAUUGGGGCUAAUACCGGAUGUUCACCGCUUCCCGCAUGGGUGGUGGUGGAAAGGGUUUCCGGCUGGGGAUGGGCCCGCGGCCUAUCAGCUUGUUGGUGGGGUAGUGGCCUACCAAGGCGACGACGGGUAGCCGGCCUGAGAGGGUGACCGGCCACACUGGGACUGAGACACGGCCCAGACUCCUACGGGAGGCAGCAGUGGGGAGUAUUGCGCAAUGGGCGGAAGCCUGACGCAGCGACGCCGCGUGGGGGAUGACGGCCUUCGGGUUGUAAACCUCUUUCAGCAGGGACGAAGCGCAAGUGACGGUACCUGCAGAAGAAGCACCGGCCAACUACGUG